GAUGAACGCUGGCGGCGUGCCUAAUACAUGCAAGUCGAGCGAACGGACGAGAAGCUUGCUUCUCUGAUGUUAGCGGCGGACGGGUGAGUAACACGUGGAUCACCUACCUAUAAGACUGGGAUAACUUCGGGACACCGGAGCUAAUACCGGAUAAUAUUUUGAACCGCAUGGUUCAAAAGUGAAAGACGGUCUUGCUGUCACUUAUAGAUGGAUCCGCGCUGCAUUAGCUAGUUGUUAAGGUAACGGCUUACCAAGGCAACGAUGCAUAGCCGACCUGAGAGGGUGAUAGGCGACACUGGAGCGGAGACACGGUCCAGACUCCUACGGGAGGCAGCAGUAGCGAAUCGUACGCAGUGGGCGAAAGCCUGACGGAGCAACGCCGCGUGAGAGAUGGAGGUCUUCGGAUCGUAAAACUCGGUUAUUAGGGAAGAACAGAUGUGUAAGGAACUGUGCACAGCUUGACGGUACCGAAUCAGAAAGCCACGGCUAACUACGUG
rnacentral:rRNA from 1 species